rnacentral:rRNA from 1 species
UUUUAUGGAGAGUUUGAUCCUGGCUCAGGAUGAACGCUGGCGGCGUGCCUAAUACAUGCAAGUCGAGCGAACAGACAAGGAGCUUGCUCCUUUGACGUUAGCGGCGGACGGGUGAGUAACACGUGGGUAACCUACCUAUAAGACUGGGAUAACUUCGGGAAACCGGAGCUAAUACCGGAUAAUAUUUCGAACCGCAUGGUUCGAUAGUGAAAGAUGGUUUUGCUAUCACUUAUAGAUGGACCCGCGCCGUAUUAGCUAGUUGGUAAGGUAACGGCUUACCAAGGCGACGAUACGUAGCCGACCUGAGAGGGUGAUCGGCCACACUGGAACUGAGACACGGUCCAGACUCCUACGGGAGGCAGCAGUAGGGAAUCUUCCGCAAUGGGCGAAAGCCUGACGGAGCAACGCCGCGUGAGUGAUGAAGGUCUUCGGAUCGUAAAACUCUGUUAUUAGGGAAGAACAUACGUGUAAGUAACUAUGCACGUCUUGACGGUACCUAAUCAGAAAGCCACGGCUAACUACGUGCCAGCAGCCGCGGUAAUACGUAGGUGGCAAGCGUUAUCCGGAAUUAUUGGGCGUAAAGCGCGCGUAGGCGGUUUUUUAAGUCUGAUGUGAAAGCCCACGGCUCAACCGUGGAGGGUCAUUGGAAACUGUAAAACUUGAGUGCAGAAGAGGAAAGUGGAAUUCCAUGUGUAGCGGUGAAAUGCGCAGAGAUAUGGAGGAACACCAGUGGCGAAGGCGACUUUCUGGUCUGUAACUGACGCUGAUGUGCGAAAGCGUGGGGAUCAAACAGGAUUAGAUACCCUGGUAGUCCACGCCGUAAACGAUGAGUGCUAAGUGUUAGGGGGUUUCCGCCCCUUAGUGCUGCAGCUAACGCAUUAAGCACUCCGCCUGGGGAGUACGACCGCAAGGUUGAAACUCAAAGGAAUUGACGGGGACCCGCACAAGCGGUGGAGCAUGUGGUUUAAUUCGAAGCAACGCGAAGAACCUUACCAAAUCUUGACAUCCUUUGACAACUCUAGAGAUAGAGCCUUCCCCUUCGGGGGACAAAGUGACAGGUGGUGCAUGGUUGUCGUCAGCUCGUGUCGUGAGAUGUUGGGUUAAGUCCCGCAACGAGCGCAACCCUUAAGCUUAGUUGCCAUCAUUAAGUUGGGCACUCUAAGUUGACUGCCGGUGACAAACCGGAGGAAGGUGGGGAUGACGUCAAAUCAUCAUGCCCCUUAUGAUUUGGGCUACACACGUGCUACAAUGGACAAUACAAAGGGCAGCGAAACCGCGAGGUCAAGCAAAUCCCAUAAAGUUGUUCUCAGUUCGGAUUGUAGUCUGCAACUCGACUACAUGAAGCUGGAAUCGCUAGUAAUCGUAGAUCAGCAUGCUACGGUGAAUACGUUCCCGGGUCUUGUACACACCGCCCGUCACACCACGAGAGUUUGUAACACCCGAAGCCGGUGGAGUAACCAUUUGGAGCUAGCCGUCGAAGGUGGGACAAAUGAUUGGGGUGAAGUCGUAACAAGGUAGCCGUAUCGGAAGGUGCGGCUGGAUCACCUCCUUUCU